rnacentral:rRNA from 1 species
UACGGAGGGUGCAAGCGUUGUCCGGAAUUAUUGGGCGUAAAGAGCUCGUAGGCGGUCUGUCGCGUCGGCUGUGAAAUCCCGAGGCUCAACCUCGGGUCUGCAGUCGAUACGGGCAAACUGGAGUGUUGCAGGGGAGACUGGAAUUCCUGGUGUAGCGGUGAAAUGCGCAGAUAUCAGGAAGAACACCCGUGGCGAAGGCGGCUCUCUGGGACGGUACUGACGCUGAGACGCGAAAGCGUGGGGAGCGAACAGG